rnacentral:miRNA from 10 species
UGAGGUAGGAGAAUUGCUUGAACCCAGGAAGUGGAGGUUGCAGUGAGCCGAGAUCGUGCCACUGUACUCCAGCCUGGGUGAUAAAGCAAGACUCCGUCU